CCUACGGGAGGCUGCAGUCGAGAAUCAUUCACAAUGGGGGAAACCCUGAUGGUGCGACGCCGCGUGGGGGAAUGAAGGUCUUCGGAUUGUAAACCCCUGUUAUGUGGGAGCAAAUUAAAAAGAUAGUACCACAAGAGGAAGAGACGGCUAACUCUGUGCCAGCAGCCGCGGUAAUACAGAGGUCUCAAGCGUUGUUCGGAAUCACUGGGCGUAAAGCGUGCGUAGGCUGUUUCGUAAGUCGGGUGUGAAAGGUGCGGGCUCAACCCGCGGACGGCACAUGAUACUGCGAGACUAGAGUAAUGGAGGGGGAACCGGAAUUCUCGGUGUAGCAGUGAAAUGCGUAGAUAUCGAGAGGAACACUCGUGGCGAAGGCGGGUUCCUGGACAUUAACUGACGCUGAGGCACGAAGGCCAGGGGAGCGAAAGGGAUUAGAUACCCGGGUAAUC
rnacentral:rRNA from 1 species